GCCGCCAUCCUGCUUGCACCUCCUUAGCCAGGCAGGCGCGCUGGUUGGCCGGUUCAGCCCAGGCUCCUGCUCCGGAAAUGACUGCCGGUGGAGGCCGGCCCAGCCUCGCCAAGAGGGGAGCCGAGCCGAGCGUCUGGGAGGAAAGGUGGGAUGGCGGAGAUGGGAAAUCGAAAUUCACCACCAUCGUCAAGCGUCUUCUCAUUCCCGCCAGCCGACAUUCUUUGGCUGACGGGAUCUGCAGCUUGCUCGGUCUGUUGGAUCGGAUUGGAAAAAAGCUCAUCACUCAUAAGGAAAACAAGAUCCAAAUGCUACACCAAUCGAUCUUUUGUCAGCGAAAGUCCAGUAAGAGCAACCAGAUAUAAUUAUUUUUUUCUUUUAACACUGGUUGGAGAAGCCAAUCUUACAAAAUUUCCCUUAUUUUUAAAAACUAUUUUUUAACCUAUUCAGAAAAAAGAGGUAGUUUGCUGCUCAGUGUUUCAAAAUGAAAAUCCUUCAGAAGUUUAACAUUUCUUUUGAAUACAUAAAAUGCAUCUUUUUUGUCACUUCUAAGUGUCCUAAAUAUUAGAGCUUUUUCGUUUAUUUAAAACAAAAGAAAUAUUUAGAUCAAUUUCCUGGUUUAAUAUCAUCUUUGGGUAAUGAGUCAUCCAUAAGAUCCAUUUGUAUUACAUUUAAAUUCCCCUUCAAAUUAAUUUCACAAGACAAAGUUUUAAAAAUCAAAUUUACAUCAUCUUUUAUAGAGGCAGAAAAUCAUCUGAUGAAUGCAAUAAAAUAUUGCCAGUCUGGAAAAAAAAUCCAAAAAUGAGAUUAAAAUGUAAACUCAGUGUCUACAGUUUGGGAAGUUGCUUUCAUUGUAAUUAAGACACAUCCAGGUAGGCAGACAGACUUUUUGGGGAACUAUAGGUUGCUUUGUGGAGGACAAGCUCAGCAUAGGCCACAUUGUUGACCUGAAAUCUAGGCCAGACAUUGCUUUGGUAAGCAGCAACAUCGGACCUCUCAGUUGGCUGUAAGCUCCUUCAGGCUGUUGAACCUUAACAGAAUAGAAUUUUUUAUUGGCCAAGUGUGAUUGGACACACAAGGAAUUUCUCUUGGUGCCCACAAGAGAUAUAGCCUAUUCUGCAAUGAAUACCUCUUUGCUUCCAUUUGUUCUACAGAAUCCAUAUAUUAUGUGGGUGAGAUGUGAAAGAGCAGUAACAGUUUGCAUUUUAACAGGAUUUGAGACAUGUCACAAGAAUUUUAUAGAAAUGGCAAAACUGAAGGUGAUCGUCAUUAAGCUAGAACUGCUGGGGAGGCCAUAUCAAAGGAUUCUGGAUGCUGUUCAGGAGUCAUAUUAAGCAAAGACUGGGCUUAUGUGAAGGAGAUACUUGGACUCGUCAUUCUUUAGAGUAGCUCGUUAUUUAUGGGUAUGUACUGUGUAAAGCAUGGGGCCAUUAGCUCCAUAAAGGUAGCCUAUGAUUUAUGACCAGAAUUGAACCUGGAGUUACAAUUGCAAAUCACUGCAGCUGUGAGACAUCAAUAUGAUGGAAGUUAGUGCAGGAAUGAUAACUUUAAUCACUUAGCAUGUUUGCUGAGGAAGGUGGAGAUAUUUUCAAAGAUCUUCUCCAGUUCUAACUCUCCCCCAACCCCAACAGUUUUUUGCAAUUCCAAGAGAAUUUCUUAUGUAACUUAGAUCUUAAAAUCAGUAAAAAAGUUUUUCCAUGAAUGAAGGCAAGAGUUUUUCCUCCCACUACCUCCAAAGUAAAAGCCAGACCAAAAUUAUCCUCCGAUACUAAAAUUUAUAUUUAUGGCCAGAUUUCUUAAGAAAAAG